GGUUGGGGGGCCAAUUCUCAUCUCUUGCGGGGGCUCAAUUGAUGCCAGAGCCUUCCGUCAGGAGUUUGGGUGUAACCUUCGACGCCUCCCUCUCUAUGGAGGUGCAGGUUGCAGCUACAGCAAAGGCGGCAUUUUCCCACCUUCUUCGUGCUAAGCAGCUGGUCGCUUACCUUUCUCGCCCUGAUCUGGCCACAGUGAUCCAUGCGAUGGUCACCUCCAGGCUCGAUUAUUAUAACUCGCUCUACGCGGGGCUGCCCUUGAAGCUGACCCAGAAACUCCAAAAUGCUGCUGUGAGGCUCCUUACGGGGUCCUUGCCAUGGGACCACAUUCAUCCAGUGCUAUACCAGCUGCACCGGCUCCUGGUGGAGUACAGGAGCAGGUUUAAGGUGCUGGUUUUAACCUUUAAAACCCUAUACGGCUUAGGACCCUCAUACUUACGGGACCGCUUCUCCUGGUAUGCCCCGCGGAGAACCUUACGGUCUGCAAAUAAUAAUAUCUUGGAGGUCCCGGGUCUCAAGGAGGUUAAACUGGCCUCAACCAGGGCCAAGGCCUUUUCGGCUUUGGCCCCAGCCUGGUGGAACACUCUAUCGCAGGAGACCAGGGCCAUGCAGGACUUGACAUCUUUCCACAGGGCCUGCAAGAUGGAGUUGUUCCAUCUGGCUUUCGGUCCGGGUCCAGUUUCACCCCCCUCUAUGGGACCCUGUAAGUUACCUCUUUGGCCCUUUUAUCGGCUCAUGUGGGACCAACAUGGAGAGCUGGUUGAUGAAUACUUGAGGUUCCCGACCCCUAUGGUUGUAAUUCAUGGGCAAUCAUUUAAUUUUAUCCUGAUUCUAAUUUUUAAGCUGUAGUUUAAUCAAUUGUUGAUUGUGUUUUAAUGUAUUUGAUAUUUGAUGUUAGCCGCCCUGAGCCCGGUCUUGGCCGAGGAAGGUGGGGUGUAAAUAAAAACUUACUUACUUACUUUACUUACUUAACACCUUUCAGUGGGUUCAGUAGUGAAUUGGCAACUGGUGUGGAUCUUUCGAGACUGGUAUAAUAUGUGUUUGCCCAGAAAUGCCCAUCAGCAGUUUUGCUGCUGCAAACUGCAGUACUAGUUGCAUUUCCCAAACCAUCUUUAAGGACACUCCAGGUAGAGUCCAUUGCAAUGAUUCAAUCUGGAAGUUACCAAUCACUGUGGCCAAGCUAUCCCUAUCCAGGAAAGGCUGGCGGGCCAAUCAAAGCUGAAAAUAAGCACUCCCAGUCAGCCUUGCUCAUCUUAAUAUCUGGACAGGUUAACACCUCUAUGCCUCAAAGACAUACAUGGAUCAAGGAGCAUCCCCAAACUAAGCAUCUGUUCCUUCCAGGGCACUAUAGCCCUGCGCAGACCUGGCCUCCCUACCUCCCAAACUCAACAACCCAUCAAAUGUCUAGUUCCACUCUGACACACACAUUUUGGCCAAAGGAAGCUACUUAUCUUCUCCACUUAUCUUCCUGCCAGGAACAGGUUCACCCAAACAAUUUAUGUGCUGCAGGUUGCUGUGUUCUUUACAUAGUAAAAGCAAGGAUCUCUGUUUUUCGAUUACUGUGAGCAACUUCAUUCGUUCACAAGGCCUUUAUAUAUGUAAGAAUAUACAAGACCUGGGACCGACCCUGGGGAUCGGUUUUGGUCUUGUUAGUCAAUCAGCAAUGUCUCAGACCUUUCAGUGAUUGAGAGCCGUGUACAUUCUGUCAUGCUCUGAAACGGCACAAACGUUUUGUUGUUGCUGUUGUCGUCAUGGCCUUGUGGGCUCGCUUGGCAGGUCUCGGGGAACUGGUGUUCUUUGUGAUCCUCCGGCCCUUUGGCCCUGACACAAUGCCCGUUGCUAUGGAAUGAUGCUCGCUAUCCAACAGGCAAGUAACCCAAUCCUGCUGAAUUUUAAUUCAAUGAAUUCCAGUGAUAUCAGAGCUGGGAAGUUGAUACACUUGAAUACAUGCUAAUGGGGACUGAAAAGCUAAUUAAUUAAUGACCGGAAGGGAGGAGGGAGAGGUAACAACCCCUAGAAACCUCUAGUUCUUCAGCACAACCUGUAGAGGCACAAGUAAGUCUUUCUUCAGGAAAGACAGUAAUAGACAAGUUACUCCCCUCACCAAACUAAUAUUUGCCCCUCAAGGGGAAACAAUGUAUGUUUUCCCCUGCAGGCCAAAUAGCAGCUUUGGGAAAUGGGAGGGGGAAGUUGUUGUUUUUUUAUCCUCUCCCCAUGUUGUGGGCCCUAUACAAAUAGCCUCUCUCCUAUGGUUGCUUACAUAUAUGUGUGUGCUGCCACCAGAAAUGGUGCUGCUUCUGGCAAACAACUGUCUCCUCACAUUUCUAGCUGGGAAACCUCUGACUGAGACUUUGGAGAGCCAAUCAGAAUAGGUGACACUAGGCUGGAUGGACCAGUGGUCUGAUUAAGUGUAAGGCAGCUUUGCGUGUUCACAUGUCCCCUUCUGACAUGUCAUCUCUGCCAGCCUUUCGCAGGUUGCUCUUUUCUCCUCUGGCUAGCAUGACUGAAUCUCGGCUUCUAGUAGCAGAAUGGCAACUUGCACAUCACCAAAAAAAGGAGAUGCUUCAUAGCACCCAAAAGGCCACAAAUCUGCAUAACAUUUGCAUAUGCUAAUUUAUUUGUAGAGAUGCACACUUGGAAUUAAUGACUAUAACAUAAAUAGAAAUGCAAUACAUCUCAGCACAGCGGGGGGAGACAUGUGACUUGGGUGCCUGAUCAGCCUGCUGUUAUGGUGCAGAUUGUUACUUCAAGACCCCCACUCUCUCUCCUUAGCGUUCUUUAUCUUUAAAUAGGAUUUGGACCACAUAGCCCUUCAAAAAGAGAGUGCCUUCUAAUCUCUGGAAAGGAGGAUAUAUGGCUCACUCUCCCUAUGAGCCACCUGAGGAAUUUACCAUUCAACGCAGCUCUCUCACUGCCAGCCGACCUUUGGAACAUGACACAGUCAUGGUACUGGCAACACCUUGAUGUGAUUUUGUGUGUGUGUGUGCAAUUAAUUAUCUGUCAGAGGCCCAUAAUUAAACAGUUGCUGAUACUGUCCUUUAGAAAGAGACAGUAUCAAGAUUGUCAAGUGGCUAAUUGCUCAGAAAGAAAGAGUGUUCAGGCCUAGUAAACAAGCCACCUUUCAUGCCUUUGACAUGCAGACGGCAGAACCUGGGACAUUCUGGAGAUGAAAAGGAGGCAUUCAAAUUCCUCCCAAGGUGAAGUGCCUCUUGGGCAGUGCAGUUGGCAGGACGUCAGCAAACCCCAGUGGAGAAAAUAAAAUUGCCAAAACUUCCGGGGUCAGCGCCAGCGGCUAAUGGUGGAGCUCCUCUAAGCGGAGGAACCAGCUCCGUGAAAACUGGGUCGCCCGUCACGGCGAAGGCGGGGACCCGCUAGAAAUCUCAGGUGGAGGAAGCCUGGGAACGUGGGGGUUCGGCAGGGCACCUGGAGCGCCCCCCUACUCGCGGGGAAUCCCUUUUAAGGGCUCUGGAGCGAAGUCGGGUGAGCGGCGCGGUGCUGCGAACUGAUUGCUACUUUCAUGGAGUGAAGCCGCACAGCCAUUGCCGGGGAGCGCUGACUUUUUUCCUGUGGACAUUUGGAUCUAAAGUAACUACCUGUGAGUAAAGUGAAGAAAUUGGACUUUUAAUAAGUUGAAUUCGGCUACGAACGGGGGAGGCGUAAAACAGAAAGUCCGCCUUCCUCUUUUUGUAAAUAGUGGGAAGCAAAGAGGUUUAAACUAAAGCCUGAAAGACUGCUUUUGACAUCUAAAUCUUCAGUAUAAAAAUAGCGAACCCCCCCUUGGCUGCAGGGGAAAAGGAUAAAUCUACAGGACCGGAUGGACUGACUUCUAGAUACUACAGAACUUUGAAAGAAUGGUUAAUACAACCAUUAAAGAAAGUCUGUAAUGAAAUAUUGGAAGGGAAAAGGGCACCUGAGUCGUGGAAAGAAGCAUACAUUACAAUUCUACCAAAAUCAGAGUCUGAAAAGACGCAACUUAAAAACUACCGUCCCAUAUCACUGCUUAAUGUGGCUUAUAAAAUUUUUGCAGACAUUUUGGCUAAAAGAUUAAAAAAGGUCCUAGCAGAAGAAAUUCAUAAAGACCAAGCAGGCUUUCUCCCGGGCAGGCAUUUGUCUGAUAAUACAAGGAAUAUAAUUAAUAUUCUAGAAAAGCUACAAGUGAAGAUUAAUACUAAAGCAGUUUUGAUUUUUGUGGACGCGGAGAAAGCCUUUGACAAUAUUUCUUGGAGUUUUAUGAAGAAGAAUUUAUUGGGGAUGGGGGUUGGUAAAGGUUUUGGAAAUGGUAUAGGUGCAAUUUACUCAGAACAAAAGGCUAAAUUAAUUGUGAAUAAUGUAGUGACGGAAGAAUUUAAGAUUGAGAAAGGAACACGACAAGGUUGCCCAAUCUCUCCAUUGCUUUUUAUUUCGGUCCUGGAGGUGCUGUUAAAUAUGAUUAGAAGGGACCAAUUGGUUAAAGGUAUACAAGUGGGAGCUAAAUAGUACAAACUGAAAGCAUUUGCAGAUGAUUUAGUAUUGACUUUACAGGAGCCAGAAUCAAGUACGAAAAGAGUAUUAGAAUUGAUUCAAGAAUUUGGUCAGGUAGCAGGUUUUAAGUUGAAUAAGACGAAAACUAAAGUUUUGGAGAAAAAUCUAAAUGAGAUUGAGAGAGAGAAGUUCCAGAACGAGACAGGUCUGACAUUGGUUAAGAAAGUGAAAUAUUUAGGGGUUAAUAUGACUGCUAAGAAUGUGAAUUUAUUUAAGGAUAAUUAUGAAAAAUGUUGGACUGAAGUGAAAAAAGACUUAGAAAUAUGGUCAAAUUUGAAGCUAUUGUUGCUAGGCCAAUUGCUGUGAUAAAAAUGAAUGUAUUGCCAAGAAUGUUGUUUUGUUUCAAACACUGCAAAUUUUGGACAAAAUGGACUGUUUCAAGAAGUGGCAGAGAGAUAUCUCUAGAUUUGUCUGGCAGGGCAAGAAGCCUCGUAUAAAAUUUAAGAUAUUAACUGAUGCUAAAGAAAGAGGUGGAUUUGCCCUGCCAGACUUAAAACUUUAUUAUGAAUCAGCCGCUUUUUGUUGGCUGAGAGAAUGGAUGCUUCUUGAAAACAUGGAUGUUUUGGAUUUGGAAGGUUUCAAUAAUGUAUUUGGUUGGCAUGCAUAUUUGUGGUAUGAUAAGGUCAAAGCACACAAAGCGUUUAAAAACCAUAUUGUAAGAAAAGCACUGUUUAAUGUCUGGAUAAGAUAUAAGGAUUUGUUAGAAAAUAAAACCCCAAGAUGGCUGUCACCAAUGGAAGCAAAGGCUCUGAAAAAACUCAAUAUGGAGGCCAAAUGGCCGAAGUAUUGGGAAAUUUUGGAACAAGAGGGUGACAGAUUAAAGUUACAGAGCUUUGAAAAAUUAAAAACAGAGUACGAGAUUGGCUCCAUUAUUAUCAAAUAAUGGAGGCAUAUAAUUUGGAUAAAAAACUAGGUUUUCAGGUGGAAAAAUCAAAGCUGGAAACAGAAUUGCUAGACCCUAAAGUUAAGAAUUUGUCAAGAAUGUAUAACUUGCUGUUGAAAUGGAAUACUCAAGAUGAAAUGGUGAAAUCUGCUAUGAUUAAAUGGGCACAAGAUGUUGGACAUAAUAUUAUGAUGGCUGACUGGGAACAGUUAUGGAACACUGGUAUGAAGUUUAUGGCAUGUAAUAUCUUAAAAGAGAAUUUAAUGAAAAUGAUUUACAGGUGGUACAUAACACCAGUCAAGCUUGCAAAAAUUUAUCAUUUGCCCGAUAAUAAAUGUUGGAAAUGUAAUGAAACUGAAGGUACAUUCUUUCACCUUUGGUGGACGUGCCCAAAGAUUAAGGCAUUCUGUGAGAUGCUCUAUAAUGAAAUGAAAAAGGUAUUUAAAUAUACCUUUCUAAAGAAACCAGAGGCCUUUCUCCUGGGCAUGGUAGGCCAAUUGGUGCCAAAGAAGGAUAGAGUUUUUUUCAUGUAUGCCACAACAGCAGCAAGAAUACUUAUCGCAAAGCACUGGAAGACACAAGAUCUACCUACCAGGGAAGAAUGGCAGAUGAAGCUGAUGGAUUACAUGGAACUGGCGGAAAUGACUGGCAGAAUCCGAGACCAGGGAGAAGAGUCGGUGGAAGAAGAUUGGAAAAAAUUUAAAGUAUAUUUACAGAAAUAUUGUAAAAUUAAUGAAUGUUAGAAGGAUGCUGGAAAGAAGUUAUAUGACUUUAGCAGAAAUGUUAUAAAGAAUUAAGUAUGAAUAGAUUGAUAAUGGGUAAAGGUGCAAAACUUAAGGUUAAUUUGCGUUAAGAUAAAUUAUGGAAUUAAAUUUGAGAAAGAGGGAAAGGAUUUGCUGGAACAACUAAUUGAACUAGAAUACAAAAAAGGAGGUGUGAGGAAGUCGAGGAAAUAAGCAAAUGAAAGAUAAGGACAUGAAAAUACGGGGUUUUUUUCUUUGGUUUUUUUCUUCUUUUUUUUCCUCCUUUUUAUUUUUUAAAAGGUUUGUGGUUUUUUAAAAUGUUUUUGGGUUUUUUUCCUUUUUUAAUGUUUUGCUGUAUUGUUGAUGUUCUGUUUUAUUGUAUUUUCUUUUGUUUUUGAGGUUUUGUAACUGUUUACUGUUUGUAUUUCUUUCUCUUCUGUAAUUCUUAAACUCUAAUAAAUAUCUUU